rnacentral:sRNA from 1 species
UUUAAGUAGUCCAGUUAUGAAUAUGGAAUGAAGGGAUAAAUUCCUGAUGUCUCCAUUAAGCUCCUCUGUGUAAAAUACUCCAUGGCAAAGUUGCUAUUUAAAGUAGUGAGUUUGAUCUUGGCUUUGAUCUAAACCUUUUGAUCUUGAAAGAAGGAUGGAGUAGGAAUAAAGAGAGGGCGAGACAGAUUUUCUUUAAAGAAAUGUGAUAAAGUUAAAGGGAUGGUCAAGACCCAGCAAGCAACAGGACAAACCGACUCUCCGCCCCGGCCCGCCCUCACCGGCAGGCGGGUUACAGCAGCUGCUGAUGCGGAUGAGAAGGCCUUUGGCGGGUGGAGGAAAAUCUUGGGGUAUCGCACAUUUUUAUAAACCGCUGCAGAGGGAGCGCCGCUCCGGGGCGGAGUGCGGGCUCGCGCGGCAAGUGCGCGCCGAGGUCACGAAAUGGAUUCGAGUGAACCGGAGACCCCGAAAACGGAAGCGCAGGGAGAAAGAAGAGGUGUUUGAAAAGCUUCUUCCAGACCAGCUGGUCUUGCUUCUGGAGCAUCUCUUGGAGCAGAAGACUCUGAGCCCCCGAACUCUGCAAAGCCUCCAGAGGACAUACCACCUCCAGGAUCAGGAUGCAGAGGUAACCAGGAACACUCUCGGAGUUUAACCAGCAGGUCCCCACUGUUGGUGAAGAAUGGUGAUCCCAUUACAGUCCCAAACUAUUGAAACCACCAUUUUCUGUUAGCAGAAUCCCAUGUGUUUGCUGUAUGAAUGAAGAACUAAGUGCUUUAAUCUGAUUAUGCUUAUGCUUCUAACCA